rnacentral:rRNA from 1 species
GAUCAACGCUGGCGGCGUGCAUGAGACAUGCAAGUCGAACGAAGGAUCGGGCUUGCUCGAUCCUUAGUGGCGGACGGCUGCGUAACGCGUAGGUGACCUACCCCGAAGUGGGGGAUAACUGCCCGAAAGGGUGGCUAAUACCGCAUGUGGUCGCACGUUCAUUCGUGCGAGUUCAGCCGCAAGGCGCUUCAGGAGGGGCCCGCGUCCGAUUAGCCGGUUGGUGGGGUCAUGGUUUACCAAGGCGAGGAUCGGUAGGGGGGCUGAGAGGCAGGGCACCCAGACUGGGAGUGAGACACGGCCCAGAAUCCUACGGGAGGCAGCAGUGGGGAAUUGUGCUACAUGGGGGAAACCAUGAAGCAGCAACGCCGCGUGAGGGAUGAAGGCCUUCGGGUUGUAAACCUCUUUUGUCAGGGACGAUGAUGACGGUACCUGGCGAAUAAGCCACGGCUAACUACGUG